AGUACAAACAGAAGCCAAUUGAAAUUUGGUGCGAAAGAGGAGGACCAAAUGCGCCAUUAACCCUUUUGAAACAAAAGAACACGAAUCCAAUCUUUUGGAUUGGGUCAACACGCGUGGGUCCCCUCCUUUAAACUCCAUUUCCAAAUCUGAUGCCUAACAUUAAUUCCCAUUUAUUUCCUUUUCAAAACUCAGCAAACCUUUCAUUUUUUUUUAAAAAACAGAAGCUUUAACCCCUCCCCUAGGGUUUGAUUCAACAUGCAGCUGCCUAAACCAUCAUUUAUUUGAUGGUCGACGGUGCGCCAAUGGCGACCGAACCUUAUCGACGGAGGACAUACCUACGGAGAUCGGGUACGGUGCUGGCGUGGCUGGUGGUGUACGAAGGAGCACAUGUGAUGUGGUACGGUGCUUGGUUGCGACGCAAAACACAAAGGGGGUGACCCAGGGUUUCUGAAACUAAAAUUGUUUUAGUUUUGGGCAAUGGGUCAUGUAUUCAUUUUAGGUUUUGGACUGUAAAAAAAAGGACUUUUAAUUAAUGGACUGUUUUAUUUAUUAUAUAUUUUGGGUUUGGUUGUUGGGCCCGGACGAAUUUGGCCCGUUACAAUUAUUAUUGUUAUUAACAUAUAUUAUUAUUAUUAAA